rnacentral:rRNA from 1 species
GCGUGAAUGAUGAAGGCCUUAGGGUUGUAAAGUUCUUUUACCUGUGAAGAUGAUGACGGUAACAGGAGAAAAAGCACCGGCUAACUUCGUGCCAGCAGCCGCGGUAAGACGAAGGGUGCUAGCGUUGUUCGGAAUGACUGGGCGUAAAGGGCGCGUAGGCGGUCUUUUAAGUUAGGCGUGAAAGCCCCGGGCUUAACCCGGGACGUGCGCUUAAGACUGAAAGGCUUGAGUAUGGAAGAGGUAAGUGGAAUUCCUAGUGUAGAGGUGAAAUUCGU